rnacentral:rRNA from 1 species
GAAUCUUCCACAAUGGGCGAAAGCCUGAUGGAGCAACGCCGCGUGAGUGAAGAAGGUUUUCGGAUCGUAAAACUCUGUUGUAAGGGAAGAACAAGUACAGUAGUAACUGGCUGUACCUUGACGGUACCUUCUUAGAAAGCCACGGCUACCUACGUGCCAGCAGCCGCGGUAAUAUGUAGGUGGCAAGCGUUGUCCGGAAUUAUUGGGCGUAAAGGGCGCGCAGGCGGUCCUUUAGGUCUGAUGUGAAAGCCCACAGCUCAACCGUGGAGGGUCAUUGGAAACUGGGGGACUUGAGUGCAGAAGAGGAAAGUGGAAUUCCAAGUGUAGCGGUGAAAUGCGUAGAGAUUUGGAGGAACACCAGUGGCGAAGGCGACUGUCUGGUCUGUAACUGACGCUGAGGCGCGAAAGCGUGGGGAGCAAACAGG